rnacentral:rRNA from 1 species
CGGCCAUAGUGGGUGAUAGCCCUGUACGCGAAAAUCUCUUAGUCAUGAAAUCGAGUAGGACGGAGCACGAGAAACUUUGUCUGAAUAUGGGGGGACCAUCCUCCAAGGCUAAAUACUACUGACUGACCGAUAGUGAACUAGUACCGUGAGGGAAAGGCGAAAAGAACCCCGGAGAGGGGAGUGAAAUAGAUCCUGAAACCGUAUGCGUACAAGCAGUGGGAGCCCACUUUGUUGGGUGACUGCGUACCUUUUGUAUAAUGGGUCAGCGACUUAUUUUCAGUGGCGAGCUUAACCGAAUAGGGGAGGCGUAGCGAAAGCGAGUCUUAAUAGGGCGUCUAGUCGCUGGGAAUAGACCCGAAACCGGGCGAUCUAUCCAUGGGCAGGUUGAAGGUUGGGUAACACUAACUGGAGGACCGAACCGACUACCGUUGAAAAGUUAGCGGAUGACCUGUGGAUCGGAGUGAAAGGCUAAUCAAGCUCGGAGAUAGCUGGUUCUCCUCGAAAGCUAUUUAGGUAGCGCCUCAUGUAUCACUGUAGGGGGUAGAGCACUGUUUCGGCUAGGGGGUCAUCCCGACUUACCAAACCGAUGCAAACUCCGAAUACCUACAAGUGCCGAGCAUGGGAGACACACGGCGGGUGCUAACGUCCGUCGUGAAAAGGGAAACAACCCAGACCGUCAGCUAAGGUCCCAAAGUUAUGGUUAAGUGGGAAACGAUGUGGGAAGGCUUAGACAGCUAGGAGGUUGGCUUAGAAGCAGCCACCCUUUAAAGAAAGCGUAAUAGCUCACUAGUCGAGUCGGCCUGCGCGGAAGAUGUAACGGGGCUCAAACCAUACACCGAAGCUACGGGUAUCACUUAGGUGAUGCGGUAGAGGAGCGUUCUGUAAGCCUGUGAAGGUGAGUUGAGAAGCUUGCUGGAGGUAUCAGAAGUGCGAAUGCUGACAUGAGUAACGACAAUGGGUGUGAAAAACACCCACGCCGAAAGACCAAGGUUUCCUGCGCAACGUUAAUCGACGCAGGGUUAGUCGGUCCCUAAGGCGAGGCUGAAAAGCGUAGUCGAUGGAAAACAGGUUAAUAUUCCUGUACUUCUGGUUAUUGCGAUGGAGGGACGGAGAAGGCUAGGCCAGCUUGGCGUUGGUUGUCCAAGUUUAAGGUGGUAGGCUGGAAUCUUAGGUAAAUCCGGGAUUCUAAGGCCGAGAGCUGAUGACGAGUGUUCUUUUAGAACACGAAGUGGUUGAUGCCAUGCUUCCAAGAAAAGCUUCUAAGCUUCAGGUAACCAGGAACCGUACCCCAAACCGACACAGGUGGUUGGGUAGAGAAUACCAAGGCGCUUGAGAGAACUCGGGUGAAGGAACUAGGCAAAAUGGCACCGUAACUUCGGGAGAAGGUGCGCCGGUGAGGGUGAAGCAUUUACUGCGUAAGCCCAUGCCGGUCGAAGAUACCAGGCCGCUGCGACUGUUUAUUAAAAACACAGCACUCUGCAAACACGAAAGUGGACGUAUAGGGUGUGACGCCUGCCCGGUGCCGGAAGGUUAAUUGAUGGGGUUAGCUAACGCGAAGCUCUUGAUCGAAGCCCCGGUAAACGGCGGCCGUAACUAUAACGGUCCUAAGGUAGCGAAAUUCCUUGUCGGGUAAGUUCCGACCUGCACGAAUGGCGUAACGAUGGCGGCGCUGUCUCCACCCGAGACUCAGUGAAAUUGAAAUCGCUGUGAAGAUGCAGUGUAUCCGCGGCUAGACGGAAAGACCCCGUGAACCUUUACUAUAGCUUUGCACUGGACUUUGAAUUUGCUUGUGUAGGAUAGGUGGGAGGCUUUGAAGCGUGGACGCCAGUUCGCGUGGAGCCAACCUUGAAAUACCACCCUGGCAACUUUGAGGUUCUAACUCAGGUCCGUUAUCCGGAUCGAGGACAGUGUAUGGUGGGUAGUUUGACUGGGGCGGUCUCCUCCUAAAGAGUAACGGAGGAGUACGAAGGUGCGCUCAGACCGGUCGGAAAUCGGUCG